AACGAACGCUGGCGGCAGGCUUAACACAUGCAAGUCGAACGCCCCGCAAGGGGAGUGGCAGACGGGUGAGUAACGCGUGGGAACGUGCCCUUCGCUUCGGAAUAUUCCCGGGAAACUGGGAGCAAUGCCGGAUACGCCGAAUUGGGAAAGAUUUAUCGGCGAAGGAUCGGCCCGCGUUAGAUUAGGUAGUUGGUGGGGUAAUGGCCUACCAAGCCUACGAUCUAUAGCUGGUCUGAGAGGAUGAUCAGCCACACUGGGACUGAGACACGGCCCAGACUCCUACGGGAGGCAGCAGUGGGGAAUCUUGGACAAUGGGCGCAAGCCUAAUCCAGCCAUGCCGCGUGAGUGAAGAAGGCCUUAGGGUUGUAAAACUCUUUCGCCGGUGAAGAUAAUGACGGUAGCCGGAGAAGAAGCCCCGGCUAACUUCGUGCCAGCAGCCGCCGUAAGAC
rnacentral:rRNA from 1 species